CUCGAAGGAGGAUGAGGCAGACCGAGUAUUUGUUCUGUUGAACAAAAGCUCUUUGUUUGUUUGAAGAAAAGCAAAUCAACCAGGUCCCGAGUAGCUGGAAAAGAAGCCGACCCUGAGACUGCGUGUGAGUACAGCAGUUUAUCUGGAGGAGACCCAGGGAGCUUUGCAGGAGAGCGGGAAAAGGAGAUGGGAAGGAAAAGGAUUAUCGCAUCAACCCUGAUCUGGAGCUCCUGGAGCUGGGUCUCUGCUGCGUGCCCGGGGGCCUCCACCGCGCCUGGCGCAUCGCUGGCCCUCCUGAGAUGUGGAUGGAACGAAGGACCGAAGCCUUAGAAUCCCACUCUCGCGCUGCUGAGCCGGACGUCUGCAGCCCUCGAAGAGCCCGGAGGCUGCGCCAGUGCCCCAACUCCAGCACUUGGCAGAUGUCUGCCGUGGCUUUCUUGCUGGUUCCUAAGCUGCCGCUGCUGUUGGCAGCCAAGCUGGGUCUCAGCGUCAGAGGGGCUUGGACGGACCUGCCGUUAGAACCUCCUUGUCCUGCGGGCGCUGGGCUGCCGCCCCCGGAGAGACGCCCCUGAUGUUGUCUCAGCCACGGAUCCUGAUGGCAGCCGCCACGGUGAUUGCCCCAACGA